GAUGAACGCUGACAGAAUGCUUAACACAUGCAAGUCUUUGGCGAAGCUGUGCUCGCCCAGCCUAGCCAAGGCGGACGGGUGAGUAACGCGUAAGGAACUUGCCCUGCAGUCAGGGAUAACAGACGGAAACGACUGAUAAGACCUGGUAAAGUCAGGCGGACUCAUGUCCAGCCUGAUGAAAAGAGAUGCUGCAGGAGAGCCUUGCGUCCUAUUAGCUUGUUGGUGGGGUAACGGCCCACCAAGGCGAUGAUAGGUAGCCGGCCUGAGAGGGUGGACGGCCACAAGGGGACUGAGAUACGGCCCUUACUCCUACGGGAGGCAGCAGUGGGGAAUAUUGGACAAUGGGGGCAACCCUGAUCCAGCAAUUCUGUGUGUACGAUGAAGGUUUUCGGAUUGUAAAGUGCUUUCAGCAGGGAAGAAAAAAAUGACGGUACCUGCAGAAGAAGCGACGGCUAAAUACGUG
rnacentral:rRNA from 1 species